rnacentral:rRNA from 1 species
GAUGAACGCUGGCGGCGUGCCUAAUACAUGCAAGUCGAACGAGGUGCUUUUGUAGCAAUACGAGAGUAUCCUAGUGGCGAACGGGUGAGUAACGCGUUGGUGACCUACCCCAAAGUGUGGGAUAACAGUCCGAAAGGAUUGCUAAUACCGCAUGUGGUCUCCGGGUUUAGAAACCGGUGACUAAAGGAGCAAUUCGCUUUGGGAGGGACCUGCGUCCCAUCAGCUAGUUGGUGAGGUAACGGCUCACCAAGGCGACGACGGGUAGGGGACCUGGGAGGGUGGCCCCCCACAAUGGAACUGAAACACGGUCCAUACACCUACGGGUGGCAGCAGUAGGGAAUAUUGCACAAUGGGCGAAAGCCUGAUGCAGCAACGCCGCGUGCACGAUGAAGGCCUUCGGGUCGUAAAGUGCUUUUCUGCGAGAUGAGAAAGGACAGUAUCGUAGGAAUAAGUCUCGGCUAACUACGUGCCAGCCGCCGCGGUAA